AGGGAUGCCGGAACCAGCGUCGGAUUGUAGGUUCAGUGACGGCGAUACGACAAUGUUUUAUAGAUCUGUAUCGUUGAGUGGAUUUUGGUCGAAGCAUCGCGAUAACGUUGGCUGCAAUUAACUCCAGAAGGGUAGUGAUUAGUGAAUGAACAGCUUAGUUAAAGUGUCUUUGUUCGGUGGUUGCGAAUUUUGGCCAAAUAUCGAAGACAUGGAUGCACAAGAGGUAGGGAAGUCUUUAUUUGAAAGAAGUCCGUUCUCAGACGCUGCACAGGCUGCUGGAUACACUGGAUAUGCUGGUGGCAAGCUGGAUAAUGUGGCGGUGAUUGUGUCUUUGGUGGAAAAAGGAUCCAACCUUCUUGCAGUGUAAUAUCAACUGCUUUCUUGCAU